CAAGAUGGCCGCCGCCACCGCUGAGGGGAGCGGCGCGGCACGCUGAGGGGAGGGCAGGCUGCCGGCGGCGGCCCUGGAGAGCGGCGGCGCCAUGGGGGGUCGGGACGACAGCGACAGCGACGAGACCGUGGUGGAGGGCUCUGUAACGGAGAGCGAUGUGGAGGAAGAAGAGUUCCGUAGGAGGAGGUUGCUUUUUCUUGAGGAGGACGUGGCCUUAACAACUGGAGUAGGAAUUAAUGAAGGAGCUCCCUCUCCAGAAAUCUGUUAUAUACAGAAAUUUUUUGAUCACACAUAUAAUCAGAAGGAAGAACAGAUAAAAGAUACAGAAAUGGUAGCUCAAGAGGCAUGCACGUCUGACCAGUCUCAGUCUCUACUGCAGGGUUGGAUUAACUUUCCAUCACUUCCUGAAAAUAUUUCUAAGCCUGGUUUUGCACUAAAUGCUGCAGUAGAGGGACAACAAAAUAAUUCUGUAGGUAUGUUGUAUUUUGUACAAAACUGAAAGUUGCUUUAGCUGUGGCAAAUUCAUUUGAGAAGCUGAAGAUGAGUAACUGCAUAGGUUUAUUUAGACUCUGACUGUAUGUGACCUUUACAAUAGCUGUUUAGUUUUCAUAGUGGUUUUGGACUACAAGUUACAUUUUUGUAAGCAUUCUGUUAGCACUGACUGAAAAAAAUAACUGUUUUCCUAAGCCAGUUCUGUUUCCAGCUUAAAGUUAUUUCAUUGCCGUGGAAUUUUCUGACAAAAGUUACAGGCCACAUAGUACUGAAGUGCCAUGUGGAUGUGUAAGGUAAGCAUGGGUAUAACAGUCAUGGAUAGUUCCUACACACUUCUUACUAACAUAUCCAACAAUCAAAGACAUCUGUAAGAAAGAAGAAACAAAAAUGCUACUGGUCGUUUCCCAGAUCCGUCUGUCACUGGCUGCUGCUUCUGUUGUACUGCCCUUCCUCCGUGCUUCCAGCAGUGCAGGCCUGUCCCAUCUUUUGAGCUAAUUUUUACCAACCCAAUAAAAUCCAUUCACUUUAUUUCUUAUUAGGAAGU
rnacentral:lncRNA from 1 species